UGGGAACGUGCCUUUUGGUUCGGAACAACCCAGGGAAACUUGGGCUAAUACCGGAUAAGCCCUUACGGGGAAAGAUUUAUCGCCAAAAGAUCGGCCCGCGUCUGAUUAGCUAGUUGGUGGGGUAAUGGCCCACCAAGGCUACGAUCAGUAGCUGGUCUGAGAGGAUGAUCAGCCACAUUGGGACUGAGACACGGCCCAAACUCCUACGGGAGCAG
rnacentral:rRNA from 1 species